UACAGAGGCCUCGAGCGUUAGGCGGAAUCACUGGGCUUAAAGCGUGUGUAGGUGGAUCGUUAAGUACCUUGUGAAAUCCCACGGCUUAACCGUGGAACUGCUUGGUAUACUGGCGGUCUUGAGCCACUUAGGGGCUACCGGAACAAAUGGUGGGGCGGUGAAAUGCGUAGAUAUCAUUUGGAACGCCAAUGGUGAAAACAGGUAGCUGGGAGUGUGCUGACACUGAGACAUGAAAGCGUGGGGAGCAAACAGG
rnacentral:rRNA from 1 species